UCAGAAAGCAAGGAAAGAUUUGAAAUUUUUCAUCAAUGAUGCAGAGAAUAAAGCCAAACUUGAGCGUUUUAAGUUUGCCCCAGAACAACCUAUAAUUCUGAGAGAUUGUCAAAAUUUGACAAAAUUAAUGGUCGACAACCAGAAUGCGACAAUGAACGAAAUAAAUGACAACUUGCAGAAAUUUCGAAAAUGGAUCGAGACGAUGUUUGAGAAAAUGGAACAAUCCGUGAAGACCAUGAAUUUGAAACAGCAAAAAAUUGAAGACGAAAAACGAGAACUUUGCAAGGAAGCCCAGAAUGAGUUGAAAAACUUUAUCGAAGAUGCUGAGAGCAGAG